UACGUAGGCAGCAAACGUUGUUCGGAAUUACUGGGCGUAAAGAGUGUGUAGGCGGCUUUGUAAGUUCUGUGUGAAAUCUCCCGGCUCAACUGGGAGGGUGCGCCGAAUACUGCAAGGCUUGAGUACUGGAGAGGAUAGCGGAAUUCCUGGUGUAGCGGUGAAAUGCGUAGAUAUCUGGAGGAAUACCGGUGGCGAAGGCGGCAUCCUGGACCGGCAUUGACGCUGAGGAGCGAAAGCCAGGGGAGCAAACGGG
rnacentral:rRNA from 1 species